UCCUACGGGGGGCAGCAGUGAGGAAUAUUGGUCAAUGGGCGAGAGCCUGAACCAGCCAAGUCGCGUGAGGGAAGACGGCCCUACGGGUUGUAAACCUCUUUUGUCAGGGAGCAAGAACGGAUACGUGUAUCCGAGCGAGAGUACCUGAAGAAAAAGCAUCGGCUAACUCCGUGCCAGCAGCCGCGGUAAUACGGAGGAUGCGAGCGUUAUCCGGAUUUAUUGGGUUUAAAGGGUGCGCAGGCGGUCCUGCAAGUCUGGAGUGAAACGCAUGAGCUCAACUCAUGCAUGGCUUUGGAAACUGGAGG
rnacentral:rRNA from 1 species